UACGUAGGGGGGCAAGCGUUGUCCGGAAUUAUUGGGCGUAAAGCGCGCGUAGGCGGUUACUUAAGUCGGAUGUGAAAGCCCUCGGCUUAACUGAGGGAGUGCAUCCGAAACUGAGUAGCUAGAGUACGAAAGAGGGUCGCGGAAUUCCCGGUGUAGAGGUGAAAUUCGUAGAUAUCGGGAGGAACACCGGUGGCGAAGGCGGCGACCUGGGUCGAGACUGACGCUGAGGCGCGAAAGCGUGGGGAGCAAACAGG
rnacentral:rRNA from 1 species